AUUGAACGCUGGCGGCAGGCCUAACACAUGCAAGUCGAGCGGACGAAGGGAGCUUGCUCCUGGAUUCAGCGGCGGACAGGUGAGUAAUGCCUAGGAAUCUGCCUGGUAGCGGGGGGUAACGUCCGGAAACGGGCGCUAAUACCGCAUACGUCCUGAGGGAGAAAGUGGGGGAUCUUCGGACCUCACGCCAGCAGAGGAGCCUAGGUCGGAUUAGCUAGUUGGUGGGGUAAAGGCCUACCAAGGCGACGAUCCGUAACUGGUCUGAGAGGCUGAUCAGUCACACUGGGACUGAGACACGGUCCAGACUCCUACGGGAGGCAGCAGUGGGGAAUCUUGGACAAUGGGCGAAAGCCUGAUCCAGCCAUGCCGCGUGUGUGAAGAAGGUCUUCGGAUUGUAAAGCACUUUAAGUUGGGAGGAAGGGCAGUAAGUUAAUCCCUUGCUGUUUUGACGUUACCAACAGAAUAAGCACCGGCUAACUUCGUG
rnacentral:rRNA from 1 species